rnacentral:rRNA from 1 species
CCUACGGGCGGCAGCAGUGGGGGAUAUUGCACAAUGGGGGGAACCCUGAUGCAGCGACGCCGCGUGGGUGAAGGAGUGCUUCGGCAUGUAAAGCCCUAUCGGCAGGGAAGAAGCAAGACGGUACCUGACUAAGAAGCCCCGGCUAACUACGUGCCAGCAGCCGCGGUAAUACGUAGGGGGCGAGCGUUAUCCGGAUUCACUGGGUGUAAAGGGAGCGUAGACGGCCAUGCAAGCCAGGGGUGAAAGCCCGGGGCCCAACCCCGGGACUGCCCUUGGAACUGCAUGGCUGGAGUGCGGGAGGGGCAGGCGGAAUUCCUGGUGUAGCGGUGAAAUGCGUAGAUAUCAGGAGGAACACCGGCGGCGAAGGCGGCCUGCUGGACCGCGACUGAUGUUGAGGCACGAAAGCGUAGGGAGCAAACGGGAUUAGAUACCCCAGUAGUC